rnacentral:rRNA from 1 species
CUGUGAUGCUCCUAGAUGUUCUGGGCCGCACGCGCACUACACUGACGCAGAAAACGAGCUCACCCUCCAUUAGCGAGUCCUGCCCAGAAGUGGGUGGGAAACCUUCAAGCCUGCGCCGUGCUGGGGAUAGAUGAUUGCAACUAUUUGCCUUGAACGAGGAAUGCCUAGUAAGCGUAGGUCAUCAGCCUACACUGAUUGUUUCCCUGCCAUUUGUACACACCGCCCGUCGUUGCUACCGAUGG